GAUUCUCAAGUGCAACCUGGCCGAGGGCCACAAAAAGUUUAGCUAAGGGAGGCUUCAGUGAGAAGCAGCACCCCCUUGGGGACACAGCCUGCACUGUGGAAAUGCCACCUCUCUCCCCUUGCCUGAGUGAAGAGCUGUUAGAUCCAGAAUUGCAUGUUCUCAUAACCCCCAGCCUGAGAGAGAAAACAGAGUCUGAGCUAAAGUUUGAGGAGGAUGAGCGAUGGAUUAUGAUGGAGGCUGAGAGAGAGUGGGAGGAAGAGAAACUGUCAGACAGGGAAAAGACUUUUCUGAUGGCAGAUGAGAAGAACAGCCUGGCAGAUAUUUUUGAAGAAAGAGAACAAACAAACACAGCAGUAGUGGAGGAUGGAUCCGAUUGCUUAGCUGCUGUCUUGAGGACUUUUGGCCACCUAUCUCUUGGUCAGAUUUGUUGCCCUGAUGACCCACAGCCAGCCAAGGACCAGUUGGCUACUGUUCCCAAGGAUAUACCCCUGGAUUGCGAUUGUGUUCUUACAGGUGAGGAUAUUCUCGGUGAGGUGGCAAACAGAACUGCUCAGGGGUUAGAGGGACUUGUUUCAGAUUCAGCAUGUACUGUGGGUACUAUUGAUGCAGAACAGCUCUCUGACACAGACUCAGUGCAGAUGUUUCUUGAACUUGAAAAGGAGUGUUUAUGUGAAGAAGGAGUAACUCCUCUAGUUGAGCUACAGAAUCAAAUCUCUUCUGAAGGGCUGGCUGCAUCCCAAGAUGCAGAAAAUUUACUCGUAAUUAGUCAUUUUUCAGGGGCUGCCUUAGAAAAGGAACAGCAUUUAGGCCUUUUACAUGUAAGGGCAAAAGAUUAUGAUACUAGAUUGGAUUGUGGAUAUUUUAAUACCCUGGAUUCUUCUCAGGUGCCUAAUGCUGUGGAACUUAUUGCCCACGUUGAUAUCAUGAGAGACACUUCCACCGUUAGCAAGGAGGAAUGUGAAAAAGUGCCUUUUAGCCCCAGGACUGCAGAAUUUAAGUCCAGACAGCCAGCUGAUCUGGAUUCACUGGAAAAGCUGGACCCAGGAGGACUGCUGAACUCUGAUCACAGGGUUUCUCAUGAAGAAAAAUUAUCAGGCUUCAUUGCUUCUGAGCUGGCCAAAGACAAUGGCAAUUUGUCCCAGGGAGACUGCAGUCAAACUGAGGGGAAUGGUGAGGAGUGCAUUGAGAGGGUCACCUUCAGUUUUGCUUUUAAUCAUGAACUAACAGAUGUUACCUCAGGACCUGAAGUAGAGGUGUUAUAUGAAUCAAAUUUACUAACAGAUGAAAUUCAUUUGGAAAGUGGGAAUGUAACUGUUAAUCAAGAAAAUAACAGUCUGACAUCAGUGGGAAAUGUGGUCACUUGUGAAUUGUCCGUGGAGAAAGUUUGUGAUGAGGAUGGUGAGGCAAAAGAGCUGGAUUAUCAAGCCACGCUUUUGGAGGAUCAAGCUCCAGCACAUUUCCACAGAAACUUCCCAGAGCAGGUCUUCCAGGAUCUCCAGAGGAAGUCCCCAGAGUCAGAGAUUCUGAGUCUGCACCUGCUGGUUGAAGAACUGAGACUUAAUCCAGAUGGAGUGGAAACUGUGAAUGAUACAAAGCCUGAGCUGAAUGUGGCAUCAUCAGAGGGAGGAGAGAUGGAAAGGAGAGAUUCAGAUUCAUUCCUAAAUAUUUUUCCAGAGAAACAAGUUACCAAGGCUGGUAAUACUGAACCAGUUUUAGAGGAAUGGAUACCCGUCCUCCAGAGACCUUCCCGGACUGCUGCAGUACCCACUGUCAAAGAUGCCCUAGAUGCUGCACUGCCCAGCCCAGAGGAGGGUACCUCAAUUGCUGCAGUGCCUGCCCCAGAGGGAACUGCUGUAGUUGCUGCUAUAGUGCCCUUUCCACAUGAGGACAUCCUAGUUGCUUCAAUAGUCUCCUUAGAGGAGGAGGAUGUCACAGCUGCUGCAGUAUCAGCCCCAGAGAGGGCUACUGUCCCAGCUGUUACAGUAUCUGUCCCUGAAGGGACUGCUGCAGUUGCUGCAGUGUGCUCCCCAGAGGAGACUGCUCCAGCUGUUGCAGCAGCCAUCACACAGGAGGGUAUGUCAGCUGUUGCAGGGUUCUCCCCAGAGUGGGCUGCUUUAGCUAUUGCAGUACCCAUCACAGAGGAGGAUGGUACACCAGAAGGGCCUGUCACCCCAGCUACCACAGUGCAUGCUCCAGAGGAGCCUGAUACUGCAGCUGUCAGAGUGUCCACCCCAGAGGAGCCCGCCUCCCCAGCUGCUGCAGUGCCCACCCCAGAGGAGCCCGCCUCCCCAGCUGCUGCAGUGCCCACCCCAGAGGAGCCCGCCUCCCCAGCUGCUGCAGUGCCCACCCCAGAGGAGCCCGCCUCCCCAGCUGCUGCAGUGCCCACCCCAGAGGAGCCCGCCUCCCCAGCUGCUGCAGUGCCCACCCCAGAGGAGCCCGCCUCCCCAGCUGCUGCAGUGCCCACCCCAGAGGAGCCCGCCUCCCCAGCUGCUGCAGUGCCCACCCCAGAGGAGCCCGCCUCCCCAGCUGCUGCAGUGCCCACCCCAGAGGAGCCCGCCUCCCCAGCUGCUGCAGUGCCCACCCCAGCAGAAUCUGCCUCCUUUGUAGCUGUGGUGGCCACCCUGGAGGAACCCACUUCCCCAGCAGCUUCGUCCAACCCAGAGGAGCCCACCUCCCCAGCAGCAGCAGUGCCCACCCUAGAGGAACCCACCUCCUCAGCAGCUGCAGUGCUCACCCCAGAGGAACUCACUUCCCCAGCAGCUUCAGUGCCCACCCCCGAGGAGCCUGCCUCCCCAGCAGCUGCAGUGUCCAACCUAGAGGAGCCCGCCUCCCCAGCAGCAGCAGUGCCCACCCCAGAGGUGGCUGCCAUCCCUGCUGCUUCAGUGCCCACCCCAGAGGUGCCUGCCAUCCCAGCUGCUGCAGUGCCUCCUAUGGAGGAAGUUUCCCCCAUUGGUGUGCCCUUCCUGGGAGUUUCUGCCCACACUGACUCAGUGCCUAUUUCAGAAGAAGGAACACCUGUUCUAGAGGAGGCUUCCUCCACUGGAAUGUGGAUCAAGGAGGACCUUGAUUCCCUAGUAUUUGGCAUAAAAGAGGUGACCAGCACAGUGCUACAUGGGAAAGUGCCUCUGGCUGCAACCGCUGGAUUAAAUUCAGAUGAGGUAAUUGUUGUCCAUUUUGAUUCUGGGAAGGGUCUAAAGAGUAAAGUGAGAUUUGCAGGGCUGACCUGGUGGUGAUGAGAAAUGGCACAGAUAGUUCUUUUGUUCUUUUUGGGUCUCCCGGGCUUAUAGUUUGUAGUCUUUCUGUUGAGUUUUUGGGGAAAAUAUACUUUAAUUUUGUCUGGUGAAAAACUUUAUAAUUUCAUGCUUCGUUUUUUAUUCAGAUAAGCCAAUCCCACGGAAAACAGGGAUAUAAACAGUUGUUGAUUUACAUUUUUAAAAAGAUUAUUAGCAGGAAAGGGUCAUUCUGUUUUUGAAUUAUACAGUGAGCAUGUUCUUGCCUAAACCAAGAGACAGUUUAUUCAUUGGUGGUGUCAACAUUUAGGUAGAGGCCAGAGUGUGAGCUUUGGAAUGAGACCUGGGGUGCUUCCUAACCACUCUGGGAAAAUUAGUUAGCUAUUCUUGAGUUUCCUGUUUCUUCAUUUGUUAAGGCAUAACUCUGUGAGGAUAAAAUGAGAUACAUUUAAGGUACCAAGCGUAUAAGAUUACCAAUCACUGGCCAUAUCCUCCCCAUUCUUUUCAAAUAGGUAUGUUGGUUGGUUGAAAGAAUUUACCAAAGUAGAUUGGAGAGAAGCAAUAAAGCUAAAUGAUUAAGAACUUUUAAAUGCAAAUAUGUGUUUCUGAAAACCAGAGCUAGGCAUAAUGUUUAUGAAAAAUAGAGGUAUUUUAGCCAUCUUUGUCAAAUUGCCUUUGUGUCUUUAAGCAAGUCAUUUUCCUUUCCAGGACCUCGUUUCUUCAUUAUAAAACAAGAAAAUUGGGCUAAAUGUCCUCUUGGGUCUCUCUUGGCUCUAAGAUUCUUUUUAUUUUUAUUUUUUAGAUGGAGUCUGGCUCUGUCACUCAGGCUGGAGUGCUAGAGUGCAGUGGUGCGAUCUCGGCUCACUGCAAGCUCCACCUCCCGGGUUCACGCCAUUCUCCUGCCUCAGCCUCCCGAGUAGCUGGGACUACAGGCGCCCGCCACUACGCCCGGCAAUUUUUUGUGUGUAUAUAUAUAUAUAUAUAUAUUUUUAGUAGAGAUGGGUUUCACUGUGUUAGCCAGGAUGGUCUCAAUCUCCUGACCUCAUGAUCUGCCUGCCUCGGCCUCCCAGAGUGCUGGGAUUACAGGCGUGAGCCACCGCGCCCAGCCGGCUCUAAGAUUCUUAAUGUUAGAGAACCGAAUGUGUUAGGAAACAGUUGGAAACGAUGUUCCACAUCCUUGAGCACUCCUAGUCCAAGGAAUUUGAGAUCAGCAGCUUUCCACAGUUAAUUACCCAGGUUUGAUUUGGUCAGUGGUAAAGAGUGCAGGAGUUAGAGGUUUAAUCUGAACACAAGAGAUGACUGAGUGAGAAGAUUGUUUUGAUUUUACUGUGUCCCUAGGACUCAAAAUAGUGCCUUCUUCAUAGCAGGCAUUUGCUGUUGACUGACUGACUGAAUGCAUGAAUAUCAAUUUCCUAGAGUAUGGAUGGAUGCUACAAGAAAGAUGGGUUUUCUCAUUCACCUCAUUGCAGAGCCUUUCAGGGCAGCCUUAAGUCAGCUAGAGCACCAGCUAAACAUGCAGGUCCUGACAACAAAAUCAUUUUGAUUGCAUGCCAUAAGCUCUUUGAUUAAGAAGAUUGAUUAAGAUAAUCUGGCCUUGCUGAGUGGUGGUGGUUUUACCUUGAGCUUUACCAGUUAUUUUGUCAGGUAGCAUUCCAUUAAAUUAGGAUGCAUCAUCUUUGAGACUGAUGGAUUUUUGAUUCAUUUUUCCGAGUUUUAUUGAAUUUGGAAUGACACCGAGAUCCCAAUAGCCUGUACAAAGUGAAGACAGUAGGUCAACAACAGAGCCAUUCUUGAUAAUACAGAAUAUUUCACACCAGGCACAGUGGCUCACACCUCUAAUCCCAGCAUUUGGGAAGCCAAGGGAAGAGGAUUGCUUGAGGCCAGGAGUUCGAGAACAGCCUAGGCAACAUAGUAAGACCCCAUCUCUGAG
rnacentral:sRNA from 1 species